AGCUUCAGCCUUGUUUACGUUGGUUGUCUUACAAAUAAUGAAAAUGGCUAAAUGGCUUUAAGUCCUUGUUGAGCGUCUGUUUUCUAAUAGUUAUUUUUGUAACUGUCGCCCAUCUUAACUGAAUUGUGCCCUGGCUGUGUGUUGUAGUGAGCAGGGUUUAAUGAACUAGCAUUAGCUCUCCGGACUAACAUGGAGGAACCGUGGGGUUUCGAGUUCCUGUCUCGCGUCGUUGACAAUUUAGUGUCUUUUCUGGCCGAAUUUGUUGACGACUGGCUGGCCAACGACAUGAGAGUCGCCGUGUUCAAAAUACUUUUCAGCUGGCUCAUCCUCAGUUUAAUCGCCAUACAUUUCGCUUGGAAAGUUUACGGUAACACGGUGAACGACAUGUACUACAGGCAAGGUGAGACCCCGGCUAACUAAGCGCAUUGUGUGUUUGACUGGGAAGUGAACAUCUCGUUUAUAAAUAGUGUUUUGGGAUUGUAGUACACGAUUUAAUACAAAAACAAACAACUGAACCGAAUAAACAUGAGAUGGUCGACGUCUUAUUGGCCAUAUAAUGGAAAUAAUCCCCCCCCCCCCAAAAACAAAAACAAAAAAAAACAACAAAAAAAACGAAGCUCAAAAUAGUGGCCCACUUAAUUCUGAUAAAUCUCGAAACAAAUAUAAAAAAAAUAGCAUAUUUAAAGCCUAAUACGUCAUAUUGAUAUGAAUUAGUUCAUUCUGUAGUGACUGGCCAGCUCUCAUAGCAAAUAGCCUUUACAUGGAUAUUACAGACAGGGUCAGCUUUGUCUAAGUGAUGAAAAAUCCUGCUGCUAAAACACAGACCGAGAUGCUCAAGCUUGUAGACCAUCUUUGCCAGCUGGAACUGGGGGACAGAAUGGUGGCACACCGGAUACAGCACCUCACCUGAGUGGAUGGGAGAAUGCUGCCAGAGAAAUCCUAAAGUCACACCAUGAGUGAUCAGCCACCAGUUGGGUUCAUUUUGGCUAGAGUAAGAACCACAGUGACUUAUAAGACCUAAGACUUACUGUAACCAAAUUGCUGAAGGAAAAAAAAAAACAUUCAGGAGAUGCUCACGUGAAGGUUUUGAGAAGUCAUUGUGAUAUCUGUGCACAAGAUUGUCAAGAAAAAGGAACCAGGUCUGGCUUGGUGAAAAGGAAUCGGAAGAACCGUGACUGACUCUUUGCUGACACCUAGCAGCACUUUGUUGGAAAGACUUUUUGUAAUGAGAAAAUUAUAUAAAUCCUGACAUUGAUUAAACUUCACGUCCAUCCUUUCAGCUGCAAGCUUGUACAUAUAGCAGUGAAGACCCUGCUCUCCUAGUCUCAGACUGCACAGCUUCUGAGCAGCAACAAUUACAUUACCAUUUAAUUUAUGACAUAUUUAGCAUUAUGUAACUGAGCCUGGGGAUAAAGUUGGCUACAACAAUACACCAAAUUCUGACAUAACAAUGCACUGUUGUCUUGUAAGUCUUGCCGAAAACUUUACUGGGAUUUCACCCUAAUUUCACCAGCUUCUUAUUCCAUAGUUGACUGAAUAAAAAUAACAGCAAGUAUGUUCAAAGGUGUAAGCAUAUUUGUCUGUACACUAACCAGGCAGUUGUUUUUGUAGAAGAGCAGACUGUCUACCUAUGCACUCUGAGUGAAAGCGUUUUACACUCUGUUGUGAAAAACAAUAAAAGGCCAUUCUUACA